rnacentral:rRNA from 1 species
UACGUAGGGUGCGAGCGUUGUCCGGAAUUACUGGGCGUAAAGCGCGUGUAGGCUGCUCUGCAAGUCGGGUGUGAAAGCCCUGGGCUCAACCUAGGAAGUGCACUCGAAACUGCAGAGCUGGAGUCCUGGAGAGGAAGGCGGAAUUCUCGGUGUAGAGGUGAAAUUCGUAGAUAUCGAGAGGAACACCGGUGGCGAAGGCGGCCUUCUGGACAGUGACUGACGCUGAGACGCGAAAGCGUGAGGAGCAAACAGG